rnacentral:rRNA from 3 species
GGAUUCCCCCAGUAACGGCGAGUGAAGAGGGAAAAGCCCAAAUUUGUAAUCUGGCUCUUUUAGAGUCCGAGUUGUAAUUUUGAGAACUGUUUUCUGUGCUGGACCAUGUUUAAGUCUGUUGAAAAACAGCAUCAUUGAGGGUGAUAAUCCCGUUCAUGAUAUGGACUACCAGUGCUCUAUGAUACAGUCUCUAAGAGUCGAGUUGUUUGGGAAUGCAGCUCAAAGUGGGUGGUAAAUUCCAUCUAAGGCUAAAUAUAGGUGAGAGACCGAUAGCAAACAAGUACCGUGAGGGAAAGAUGAAAAGAACUUUGGAAAGAGAGUUAACAGUACGUGAAAUUGCUGAAAGGGAAACAAUUGAAGUUAGCCUUGUUAUUUCCAGUUCAACCCUUUUAGGGUGUAUUCUGGUGAUUAACGACCAACAUCAGUCUUUGAGUGCUGGAUAAGGGUUUUGGAAAUGUAGCAGUCUAGGCUGUGUUAUAGUCCAUUACUUUGAUACAAUGCUUAGGAUUGAGGAUCGCAGUAAGCCAAUCUUGGUGGAUCAAUUUAUUGGUCUUCUUAC